rnacentral:rRNA from 1 species
UAGGGAAUCUUCCGCAAUGGACGAAAGUCUGACGGAGCAACGCCGCGUGAGUGAAGAAGGAUUUCGGUUCGUAAAACUCUGUUGUUAGGGAAGAAAAAAUGUAUAGUAACUAUAUACAAAAGAGACGGUACCUAACCAGAAAGCCACGGCUAACUACGUGCCAGCAGCCGCGGUAAUACGUAGGUGGCAAGCGUUGUCCGGAAUUAUUGGGCGUAAAGCGCGCGCAGGUGGUUUAGAAAGUCUGAUGUGAAAGCCCACGGCUCAACCGUGGAGGGUCAUUGGAAACUAAUAAACUGGAGUGAAGGAGAGAAAAGUGGAAUUCCUAGUGUAGCGGUGAAAUGCGUAGAGAUUAGGAGGAACACCGGUGGCGAAAGCGGCUUUUUGGCCUGCAACUGACACUGAGGCGCGAAAGCGGGGGGAGCAAACAGG